rnacentral:rRNA from 1 species
CCUACGGGUGGCAGCAGUGAGGAAUAUUGGUCAAUGGACGAGAGUCUGAACCAGCCAAGUAGCGUGAAGGAUGACUGCCCUAUGGGUUGUAAACUUCUGGUAUAGGGGAAUAAAAUGUGCCACGUGUGGGAUUUUGUAUGUACCAUAUGAAUAAGGAUCGGCUAACUCCGUGCCAGCAGCCGCGGUAAUACGGAGGAUCCGAGCGUUAUCCGGAUUUAGUGGGUUUAAAGGGAGCGUAGGUGGCUUGUGAAGGCAGUUGUGAAAGUUUGCGGCUCAACCGUAAAAUUGCAGUUGAAACUGGCCGUCUUGAGUACAGUAGAGGUGUGCGGAAUUC